UGAGCCACCCAGACACCCCAAUACGUUAGAGCACUACAAAACCACAUCCAGAGUUCCCGGUGCAGAAACUCACCCCUAAGGGAGCCUGACAAUUCCUGGAGGGCAGACUCCAGGCCCGGUCCUCAUCCUACUCUUCAGAAGCCGUACAAGUAGUCUGUUUUCACGAGUUGCUUAUUCGAAUGAAUAAAAAGAAAAAAGAAAGGGAAACAGAGCUACAUGGGCCAUCGGGAGGGCCAGCGGCUGUGUAACGCUGCUCGUGGCCCAGAAUACUUACCUGAAUAAAUAGAGCAUCUGAAAAGUCCUUGUCCGUCUUCAGCGACAACAGGGAAAACAGGAGAAGGGGGACUUCACGGUCUGUUUCCGUGUGCACAGUGUUUGCAGUGUGAUUCGAUGAUUCCUGAAAAGCCUUUUGGGGUGUAAGCGUGAGCCUGGAAUUAAGUAGUGGGAAAGCGCCCACGGACCGGAGAUGGACAGUCCGUGGGGUGUGCCGGCAGGCAGCCUUGCUCUGUGCAGGUGAAGCUGUGAAGGGAGCAGAAAGGAUGGCAGGAGGGAAUCAAGAACAGAAAACUGUUAGAUCAUGAAAUGAGGAAAGAGAAGACUUGUGUUCAGAGUUCAAAGACAGCCUUGUAAGCGGUCCGUCAGCUGACACGACAGGAAUAAUCCGCCUCCCACUCCCGCCCCACUUCCUCUUGGGAGGCCUGGCCCCUGCCCAGUGGCGGGGCCCUUCUCCGCACCGGGUCCCUUGACCUCUGCGGCCUGGUAACCAGACUUGACUUUCUCCAAUCGCUCAGCUGACCAGGUUUCAACGUUUCAGCCAGCUGGUGCCUCAUGUCAGCUUUCACUGAAUGGAAGGGCCCCAGCCAGACCCCGUGGCUCCAUCCGGGGCAGGAAGCUGGCAGGCCUCCUCGGGGUCCUGGUGGGCAUGCGUGAAAUACGUGGUGUGAAAACACGAAGUCGUGGUGGCACCUUAGCCCCGCUGCAGAAAGAACUCCCUGCCCAGCCAGAGAGACGCUGUUUGCACAGAUGAUGUGCGUGAAUUGCCUUGAAACCCCAGCAAUGGAACGAAGUCCUGAAACAGUCCCCUGAAGAGUGUGCCCCCACCCCCGGGAGGAAGCAGCCAGACGUCCUGGGUUCGCAUCUCGGCCCUGCCACUUAACGAAAGUUGGUUAGGCUACUAUGCCUCUGUCAUCUUACCCGGAAAAUGGGGUGAUGCACCCUAAGGAUGUUGUCAGGAUUACGUGAAUAAGUGAACAUGAAGUCCCCAGGAAAACCCCUGGCAUGCAGGAAGGUCUGGGCAAACAUCAUUUUAAAACCUGGGAAGAGGGGUGCCUGGGUGGCUCUGGCCCUGAUCAGGGAGCCUG